rnacentral:rRNA from 1 species
GAUGAACGCUGGCUACAGGCUUAACACAUGCAAGUCGAGGGGAAACGCCGGGGAAGCUUGCUUCCCCGGGCGUCGACCGGCGCACGGGUGAGUAACGCGUAUCCAACCUGCCUCUGACUGAGGGAUAACCCGUCGAAAGUCGGCCUAAUACCUCAUGGCAUCGUCUGCGGGCAUCCAACGACGAUUAAAGAUUUCAUCGGUCAGAGAUGGGGAUGCGUCUGAUUAGCUUGUUGGCGGGGUAACGGCCCACCAAGGCGACGAUCAGUAGGGGUGCUGAGAGGAAGGUCCCCCACAAUUGAACUGCGGCACGGUCCAAACUCCUACGGGAGGCAGCAGUGAGGAAGAUUGGUCAAUGGGCGAGAGCCUGAACCAGCCAAGUAGCGUGCAGGAUGACGGCCCUAUGGGUUGUAAGCUGCUUUUAUGCGGGGAUAAAGUGAGGGACGUGUCCUUCAUUGCAGGUACCGCAUGAAUAAGGACCGGCUAAUUCCGUG